CCCAGACUCCUACGGGAGGCAGCAGUGGGGAAUAUUGCACAAUGGGGGAAACCCUGAUGCAGCAACGCCGCGUGAGUGAAGAAGUAUUUCGGUAUGUAAAGCUCUAUCAGCAGGGAAGAAGAGAGACGGUACCUGACUAAGAAGCCCCGGCUAACUACGUGCCAGCAGCCGCGGUAAUACGUAGGGGGCGAGCGUUAUCCGGAUUUACUGGGUGUAAAGGGAGCGUAGACGGUUUUUCAAGUCUGAAGUGAAAGCCCGCGGCUCAACUGCGGAACGGCUUUGGAAACUGGGUAACUGGAGUGCUGGAGGGGCAGGCGGAAUUCCUGGUGUAGCGGUGAAAUGCGUAGAUAUCAGGAGGAACACCGGUGGCGAAGGCGGCCUGCUGGACAGUAACUGACAUUGAGGCUCGAAAGCGUGGGGAGCAAACAGGAUUAGAUACCCGCGUAC
rnacentral:rRNA from 1 species